AUGGGGCCCCAUCUAGUCCCACAGCUCCCCUUCCACCAGGUCAGCAGAGGGGCAGGUGACCAACAACUCACAUGUUCUGAGGAUAUCUUUGCUAGAACCUCAGGGCUGGGUGUGCCCACCACCUCCAUGAUACGCUUCAGCUGGUCGAUGUCUGCCUGGCUCAGGAAAGGUCCAAUGGCCAGGUAUGGACUCUCCUGGGAUCCCAGACCCCAGACCUUGGGUCACUGCGCAGACCCUGCUCUCCUGCCGCUGGGGACAGUGAGCCCACAGUGGCAUGGUGUGGGGCAGAGGAGGCAAGACUGGCCAGAAAGCGCCGGAGCCCACGUCCCUAGACCCCCACCCUGCAAUGGGAGGCCCAACCUUCCUCCCCAACCUGAACCAAGGAUACAGUCACUUCCGGGGAAGAGAGCCUUUCCCUGGAGCAGCUCAGCCAUGAUGCAGCCCACGGACCAGAUGUCCACUGAAGCAGAAGGUGUCGCCAUCAGUCUGCCCACCCCAAGUCCCGCCCCAGAGAGCUGGGGGCUGGGCCCACAGCCCCACCCACACAUCCAGGCCCCUUCCUGACGGCGCCCUGGGCAGGGCAAGGGGCAGCCCAGGAGCUGCGGUGCCCUGCCUCUCUGAAGAUCUGGUCCUGAGCACCUGGCCUGUCCCCAAGGCCCCUGGCCUCCGGGCCCGCCCACCCCCGCAGGCCGCGCCCCGCGGGGCUGCCGUCACCUGUCUGGCUGUAGUGCAUCCAGUUUAGCAUGAUCUCGGGGGCCC
rnacentral:lncRNA from 1 species